GUUGUCCGGAUUCACUGGGCGUAAAGGGCGCGUAGGCGGCCUGUUAAGUCGGGGGUGAAAUCCUGCGGCUUAACCGCAGGGCUGCCUUCUAAACUGUCAGGCUCGAGCACAGUAGAGGCAGGUGGAAUUCCCGGUGUAGCGGUGGAAUGCGUAGAGAUCGGGAAGAACAUCAGUGGCGAAGGCGGCCUGCUGGGCUGUUGCUGACGCUGAGGCGCGACAGCGUGGGGAGCAAACAGG
rnacentral:rRNA from 1 species